GUAAAGCAGAAGAAAGGAUGGAGUUAGUACAAAGUCCUCCAAAGCUUUUAAAUCAACACCGAGGACAAAACAUUCGCAUCUCUAAUGGUGUGCGAGUACCUAUUCCUUGGGACA
rnacentral:snoRNA from 1 species